rnacentral:rRNA from 1 species
UAGAGUUUGAUCCUGGCUCAGGAUGAACGCUGGCGGCGUGCCUAAUACAUGCAAGUCGAACGCACAGCGAAAGGUGCUUGCACCUUUCAAGUGAGUGGCGAACGGGUGAGUAACACGUGGAUAACCUACCUCAAGGUUGGGGAUAACAUUUGGAAACAGAUGCUAAUACCGAAUAAAACUUCGUAUCGCAUGAUACAAGGUUAAAAGGCGCUACGGCGUCACCUAGAGAUGGAUCCGCGGUGCAUUAGUUAGUUGGUGGGGUAAAGGCCUACCAAGACAAUGAUGCAUAGCCGAGUUGAGAGACUGAUCGGCCACAUUGGGACUGAGACACGGCCCAAACUCCUACGGGAGGCUGCAGUAGGGAAUCUUCCACAAUGGGCGAAAGCCUGAUGGAGCAACGCCGCGUGUGUGAUGAAGGCUUUCGGGUCGUAAAGCACUGUUGUAUGGGAAGAACAGCUAGAGUAGGGAAUGACUUUAGUUUGACGGUACCAUACCAGAAAGGGACGGCUAAAUACAUGCCAGCAGCCGCGGUAAUACGUAUGUCCCGAGCGUUAUCCGGAUUUAUUGGGUUUAAAGGGUGCGCAGGCGGAUCGGUAAGUCAGGGGUGAAAAGUUCGUGCUUAACAUGAAUCGUGCCUUUGAUACUGCCGGACUAGAGUGCAAUAGACGUGGGCGGAAUGUGAUGUGUAGCGGUGAAAUGCUUAGAUAUGUCACAGAACACCGAUCGAGAAGUCAGCUCACGAGUUUGCAACUGACGCUCAUGCACGAAAGCGUGGGGAUCAAACAGGAUUAGAUACCCUGGUAGUCCACGCUGUAAACGAUGAUCACUCGUUGUUGGCCGGCGACGGUUAGUGGCCAAGCGAAAGCGAUAAGUGAUCCACCUGGGGAGUACGAUCGCAAGGAUGAAACUCAAAGGAAUUGACGGGGGCCCGCACAAGCGGAGGAGCAUGUGGUUUAAUUCGAUGAUACGCGAGGAACCUUACCCGGGCUUGAACGUAAGACGACGACGCAGGAGACUGCGUUUCCUUCGGGCGUUUUGCGAGGUGCUGCAUGGUUGUCGUCAGCUCGUGCCGUGAGGUGUUAGGUUAAGUCCUGCAACGAGCGCAACCCUUACUUUUAGUUGCCAGCAUGUAAAGAUGGGGACUCUAAAAGAACUGCCUACGCAAGUAGAGAGGAAGGUGGGGAUGACGUCAAAUCAGCACGGCCCUUAUGUCCGGGGCUACACGCGUGCUACAAUGGCGCACACAGAGGGCAGCGACCCUGCGAGGGGGAGCCAAUCCAUUAAAGUGCGUCUCAGUUCGGAUCGGAGUCUGGAACCCGACUCCGUGAAGUUGGAUUCGCUAGUAAUCGCGCAUCAGCCAUGACGCGGUGAAUACGUUCCCGGGCCUUGCACUCACCGCCCGUCA